UACGUAGGGUGCAAGCGUUGUCCGGAAUUAUUGGGCGUAAAGAGCUCGUAGGCGGCUUGUCACGUCGACUGUGAAAACCCGGGGCUCAACUCCGGGCCUGCAGUCGAUACGGGCUGGCUUGAGUUUGGGAGAGGGAUGCGGAAUUCCAGGUGUAGCGGUGAAAUGCGUAGAUAUCUGGAGGAACACCGGUGGCGAAGGCGGUUCUCUGGGCAUUACCUGACGCUGAGGAGCGAAAGUGUGGGGAGCGAACAGG
rnacentral:rRNA from 1 species